GAAGGUAGAGCUCAUUGGUAGAGUCCAUGCUUGGCAGGCAAGAGGUCCUGGGUCCAAUUCCCAGUACCUCCA
rnacentral:tRNA from 1 species